GACGAACGCUGGCGGCGUGCUUAACACAUGCAAGUCGAGCGGAAAGGCCACUUCGGUGGUACUCGAGCGGCGAACGGGUGAGUAACACGUGAGUAAUCUGCCCCUGGCUUUGGGAUAGCCACCGGAAACGGUAAUUAAUACCGGAUACGACCACUUCUCGCAUGGGAUGGUGGUGGAAAGUUUUUUCGGCCAGGGAUGUGCUCGCGGCCUAUCAGCUUGAUGGGGAGGUAAUGGCUCACCAUGGCUUCGACGGGGAGCCGGCCUGAGAGGGUGACCGGUCACACUGGGACUGAGACACGGCCCAGACUCCUACGGGAGGCAGCAGUGGGGAAUAUUGGACAAUGGGCGGAAGCCUGAUCCAGCAACGCCGCGUGAGGGAUGACGGCCUUCGGGUUGAAAACCUCUUUCAGCAGGGACGAAGCGCAAGUGACGGUACCUGCAAAAGAAGCACCGGCCAACUACGUGCCAGCCGCCGCAGUAA
rnacentral:rRNA from 1 species